UUAAGAUAGUAUUAGAAUUGUUUUUCGCAAAAGGCUUUAAUAGAAGUGAUAAUAUGCCAAAUAAAGUUAUGAACCUUUCAUUUCAUGAUUUGAACUACAAUGGAACAUGUGUCUUUAGCAUCAUUUUUUCUGAAAUUUUUUAAUCUUAUUUGUGAAAAUCUAGUUCAAGUAUCAAUUAAUUUUGAUAAACUUGCUUAAAACUCAUUUAAAC
rnacentral:lncRNA from 1 species